AGGCUAUUAGCUCAAAGGUAGAACGUGCUUUUGAUAAUAGCAUGGUUCCUGGUUCAAGUCCAGGAUGGCCUA
rnacentral:tRNA from 1 species